GCUGCCUCUCUGGCAUCCUGUGGUCCAUGAUGACAUGUUCUCUAGACCAAGUGAGGAGUAGAGGAGUGGCCUGCAGCCUGAAGCACGACAGCUAGCAGCCCACGCUCAGAAAGGGGAAACCAACCCCUGAUAUGCUUCCAGCUGGAGAAAUGGAGGAGACAGAAGGAAACCAACAGCUCUGAGGCCAUGACAGGAGAAAACAAGGAAAUAAGCAUUUUUGUCUUUCUUUUGACUUCAUAAAUCCCAAUUCCCUCUUCCUUAAUGGAUCAAGAUUUCAUAAUUAUUGGCUUGCUUAUCUAUCUUCUCAGGAAAUUUUAAACUGAAAC
rnacentral:lncRNA from 12 species